rnacentral:rRNA from 1 species
CACCUACGGGAGGCUGCAGUGGGGAAUUUUGGACAAUGGGCGCAAGCCUGAUCCAGCAAUGCCGCGUGCAGGAUGAAGGCCUUCGGGUUGUAAACUGCUUUUGUACGGAACGAAAAGGUUCUCUCUAAUACAGGGGGCAUAUGACGGUACCGUAAGAAUAAGCACCGGCUAACUACGUGCCAGCAGCCGCGGUAAUACGUAGGGUGCGAGCGUUAAUCGGAAUUACUGGGCGUAAAGCGUGCGCAGGCGGUUUUGUAAGACAGAGGUGAAAUCCCCGGGCUCAACCUGGGAACUGCCUUUGUGACUGCAAGGCUGGAGUGCGGCAGAGGGGGAUGGAAUUCCGCGUGUAGCAGUGAAAUGCGUAGAUAUGCGGAGGAACACCGAUGGCGAAGGCAAUCCCCUGGGCCUGCACUGACGCUCAUGCACGAAAGCGUGGGGAGCAAACAGGAUUAGAUACCCUGGUAGUCCACGCCCUAAACGAUGUCAACUGGUUGUUGGGGGUUAAUUCACUCAGUAACGAAGCUAACGCG